rnacentral:rRNA from 1 species
GAUCAACGCUGGCGGCGUGCAUGAGACAUGCAAGUCGAACGAAGGAUCGGGCUUGCUCGAUCCUUAGUGGCGGACGGCUGCGUAACGCGUAGGUGACCUACCCCGAAGUGGGGAAUAACUGCCCGAAAGGGUGGCUAAUACCGCAUGUGGUCGCACGUUCAUUCGUGCGAGUUCAGCCGCAAGGCGCUUCGGGAGGGGCCUUCGUCCGAUUAGCUCGUUGGUGGGGUAAUGGCUUACCAAGGCGACGAUCGGUAGGUGGUCUGAGAGGACGAUCACCCAGACUGGGGCUGAGAAACAGCCCAGACUCCUACGGGAGGCAGCAGUGGGGAAUUUUGCUCAAUGGGGGAAACCAUGAAGCAGCAACGCCGCGUGAGGGAUGAAGGCCUUCGGGUUGUAAAGCUCUUUUGUCAGGGACGAUGAUGACGGUACCUGGCGAAUAAGCCACGGCUAACUACGUG